CCUACGGGGUGCAGCAGUGGGGAAUAUUGCACAAUGGGGGAAACCCUGAUGCAGCGAAGCCGCGUGAGUGAAGAAGUAAUUCGGUAUGUAAAGCUCUAUCAGCAGGGAAGAAAAUGACGGUACCUGAGUAAGAAGCCCCGGCUAACUACGUGCCAGCAGCCGCGGUAAUACGUAGGGGGCAAGCGUUAUCCGGAUUUACUGGGUGUAAAGGGAGCGUAGACGGCAGUGCAAGUCUGGAGUGAAAGGCGGGGGCUCAACCCCAGGACUGCUCUGGAAACUGUACGGCUGGAGUGCAGGAGAGGUGAGUGGAAUUCCUAGUGUAGCGGUGAAAUGCGUAGAUAUUAGGAGGAACUCCAGUGGCGAAGGCGGCUUACUGGACUGUAACUGACGUUGAGGCUCGAAAGCGUGGGGAGCAAACAGGAUUAGAUACCCUGGUAGUC
rnacentral:rRNA from 1 species